UGGUGUAAUGGUUAAAGCAUUCGGCUGUUAACCCAAAGGUCAGUGGUUCAAACCCACU
rnacentral:tRNA from 1 species